GCCGGCCCCAAGGAAGGGCUCCUACGCAGUUAAGGGAGAACCGCACCUGAAGGAGAGCUUUUCAUGUACCUAAAGAUGACGUAACCCUCUCUAAGGACUUCCCCGGUGGUUCAGGGGGAAAGAAUCCACCUGCAACGCAGGAGACGCGGGUUUGAUCCCUGGGCGUGAGUAUGGCCAGACUCCUUAGCUCCAGAAGUGGGAGCUAACCGUAGCAUGAGGAUGGAUGUAAUGGGCUUCUCAUUUCAGGUCUGUGUUAAAUUUCAUCCAUCCAAACAACAUGGAAAGGGGAUGAAGAUGAGCUCUGAUAUUUGAACACUGAGGAUAAACCUGCAGAACCUCAAAGACGGAGGCAGCAUCAGAGGCCACACGGCCGGGC